rnacentral:rRNA from 1 species
UACGGAGGGGGGCUAGCGUUGUUCGGAAUUACUGGGCGUAAAGCGCACGUAGGCGGCUUUGCAAGUUAGAGGUGAAAGCCCGGGGCUCAACUCCGGAAUUGCCUUUAAAACUGCAUCGCUAGAAUUGUGGAGAGGUAAGUGGAAUUCCGAGUGUAGAGGUGAAAUUCGUAGAUAUUCGGAAGAACACCAGUGGCGAAGGCGACUUACUGGACACAUAUUGACGCUGAGGUGCGAAAGCGUGGGGAGCAAACAGG